CACGUAGGGUGCGAGCGUUGUCCGGAAUUAUUGGGCGUAAAGAGCUCGUAGGCGGUGUGUCGCGUCGGCCGUGAAAAACCUGCAGCUUAACUGUGGGCGUGCGGUCGAUACGGGCAUCACUGGAGUUCGGCAGGGGGAGACUGGAAUUCCAGGUGUAGCGGUGAAAUGCGCAGAUAUCAGGAGGAACACCGGUGGCGAAGGCGCCACUCUGGGCCGGCACUGACGCUGAGGAGCGAAAGCGUGGGGGAGCGAACAGG
rnacentral:rRNA from 1 species